rnacentral:tRNA from 1 species
GGGCGCGUAGCUCAAAUGGUUAGAGCGCAGGACCGAUAAUCCUGAGGUUGUAGGUUCAAGACCUACCGUACCC